rnacentral:rRNA from 1 species
ACCCCUCAAUCGCCCGGGAACUACGAGCUAAGCUUAAAACCCAAAGGACUUGACGGUACCCCACAUCCCCCUAGAGGAGCCUGUCCUAUAAUCGAUAACCCCCGCUUAACCUCACCAUUUUUUGCUAAUCAGCCUGUAUACCUCAGGUCAAGGUGCAACAUAUAAAAUGGAAAGAGAUGGGCUACACUUUCUACCAUAGAUCCGUCGUCAGCUUACCACGUGAGCGUCAGUGAGCUUAAUGUUUUUCCAACUAUACGAUAAACGAAAGACUAAAUGAAACCUAGUCAGAAGGCGGAUUUAGCAGUAAGGUGAAACUAGAGCGUUCACUUAAAUACGGCAC